CAGGAAAGGCCGGCAGCAGAGUAUUCUGGAAGGGCAAGUGCAGAGGGCAAGGUGGGAACCAGCUGGGCUUUCCCUGAGAACAGCAGAGCUGCGUCCCCAGAGGAGAGCGAGCCAAGAGGGAGAGGCAGGAGUGGGGGCAUGGCCCCAUGGAGGAUCCAGGGGUUCUGAUUCAGGAAACAAAAAGAAAAAGGAAAAAAUCUGGCGUCUAUUGUCCAAAAAAUGAAUCUCCAGGCAAUUCUGAUGAGCAGCCAGAUUUGAGAACCAGAAGGAAAGGAAAAUGGAUCCUGAGUCAGGGUAGACCGGGAUUCCAAUCCCAGCCCCACCUCUCGCUAGCUCUGUGACCUUGGAGACUUCACCGCCCUCAGCCUGUUUCUUCAUCUGUAAAACAGGGAUAAGAAGUGUGGCCCCCCCCCCACAGGGCGGCUGCCAGGAUUCAAUGAGCCCGUGAACGGUCCAUCAUCGACUCCUAUCGGUUUCAUUGCCUCAGUCUCAC